rnacentral:lncRNA from 1 species
AGCCCUCACAGUCCCCUGAGCUGGGCGCCCCAGCAUGCCCUUCCUUCGCCUCUAAGUCGAAUCAGAAAUCCUCAGGGGGCCUUGGGAAAGGCAUUGUCCAAGUGGCUCAGUGAUAAAGAACCCACCUGCCAAUGCAGAGGGCACAGGUUCAACCCCUGGUCUGGGAAGACAUCGCAGAUGCCCACAGAGCAAAUAAGUUCAUGGGCCAUCACUACGGAGCCUGCGCUCUAGAGCCCAGGAACUGAAAUUAUCGAGCCCACGUGGCCUAGAGCUCCGUGCUCCCCAACAAGAGAAGUUAUCGCAAUGAGAAGCCCUCACACACCAAGAAAGAGGAGCCCCCCGCUCGCCGCAACUAGAGAAAAACCCAAGCAGCAAGGAAGACCCAGCACAGU